UAUUACGAGGUGAUGGUCUAUAG
rnacentral:siRNA from 1 species